CUUCAAAAAUAUUAGAAAUUAAUGAUUUUAAUUGUUUGUAUGGAUAAAGCUGUUUAAUCUACUUUUCAUUUGAUUAAGAUUGAUUUUUUUCAAUUUUUGAGAGUAAUAUCUUCAACUAAACACGUAUUGUAAUCAUUUGACAUAUUGUUGAAAAAGUUAGUUGAGUGAGGGUUGGAAAAAUAAAUCGCAGCCACAAAAAAAACAAACACAUAGUAAAAUAAUAUUAAUAUGAAUAAGAAAUAUCUUCUCAUGAGGGGAGAAGACAGUGAUUAGAUUCUUCAUAUUUAUUGAAGUUAAUAAAUCUAAAUGAGGCAGAUUCGAACCUGGUACCCUAAUCGUCUAAGACUCAAAUGUUACCGAUUCAGUAUCCGUCGCUUUCGACGAAAACUAAUUCAAAUUUUAAAGUUACUUUUCGACUUUAAAAAAGCCAAAAAAUUUAAAUAAGUUUAAUUUCUUAUGUCUUAUGAACUUUAUUCUAUAUCAAUUAAACUAUAUAAUAUUUAUGAAAGUCAGUGUAUUUCCUUUGUACGAUAUUUUAAAAUAAAAAACACUGAAUUUUAACACAAAAAUAGCAUAUUUUUGAAUACGGUAACCAUUUUCACCAAGAAGAAAAUCUAUAUUUCGAAUUUUUUUUUCAUAAUAAAGUAUGUAAUAUAAAUUUUAACCCAUCAACGCCUGGCGUCCCCAUAUGGUGACAUUCGUAUUGCUAUUUUUAUCGCGCGUUCUUAGAAUAAUAAUUUAAUAGGUAAAAGCCGAGUGUACCCAUAUGGUGACACUCAAUAUCUCAGAAAU